rnacentral:misc_RNA from 1 species
UGACCAACGGCGGCCCGGGCUCGACCACCGAGGUGGUGUCGAUCACGCUCAAGCGCGAGGCUUUCGAGAAGUGGCGCACCGGCUAUUCGUCGGCGCUGGCGAUCAUCCUGUUCGUCGCGGUGUUCGGUCUGGCCAACAUCUACGUCAAGGCGCUUAACGCCGUGAAAAACCGGUGAUCUGAGAUGAGCCAAGGCAUCAGCACCGCCCACAGCGUCGUCGAGCCGACGAACACCAGCAAGUUCGUCGCCGCCACCCUGGUGACCUUGUAUGCGCUGAUCACGCUGGUGCCGCUGCUGUGGAUCGCACUGACCAGCAUCAAGAGCCCGACCGAUUCGAUCAGCUACCCGCCGAAGGUGUUCUUCACGCCAUCGACGGUGGGUUUCUGCAACCUGUUCACCACACGCUCGCGGCAGACACCGGAAUACAUCGCCGCGCUGCCGCCUGCCGACAACGCCUGCGAGCGUAACGCGCGCGAGAACAACAUGGUCGUGGUCAGCCGUUCGAACUACGUGCCGCGUUUCAUCAACUCGCUGAUCAUCGCUAUCGGCUCCACCGUGCUGUCGGUCGGCCUGGGCGUGAUGGCGGCCUAUGCCUUUUCCCGCUUCAAGGUGCCGGGCAAGGACGACCUGAUGUUCUUCAUCCUGUCCACGCGCAUGAUGCCGCCGAUCGCGGUGGCGAUCCCGAUCUACCUGAUGUACCGCGAAGUCGGCCUGUCGGACACGCGGCUGGGCAUGAUCUUGCUGUAUUCGGCGGUCAACGUGUCGCUGGCGGUGUGGCUGCUCAAGGGCUUCAUCGACGAGAUCCCGCGCGAGUACGAAGAAGCCGCGAUGGUCGACGGCUACACCCGGCUGCAGGCUUUCCGCAAGGUGGUGCUGCCGCAGGCCACCACCGGCAUCGUCGCCACCGCCAUCUUCUGCAUGAUCUUCGCGUGGAACGAAUACGCCUUCGCGGUGCUGCUGACCAGCGGCGAGGCGCAGACCGCGCCGCCCUUUAUCCCGAUCAUCAUCGGCGAGGGCGGGCAGGACUGGCCGGCCGUGGCCGCCGGCACGAUGCUGUUCCUGGUGCCGAUCCUGGUGUUCACCGUGCUGCUGCGCAAGCACCUCUUGCGUGGCAUCACUUUCGGGGCAGUAAGGAAAUGAGCUGGCCGAAGUGGGCGCGUCGCGGCCCGAUGGAGAUGGCGGCCUGCAUCGUCAUCGCACUGGGCAUCUUCAUGAUGCUGCAGCCCUUUGCCAUGACCCUAUUCACCUGGUCCUUCGUGACCACGCUGGCCGGCGUGGCGAUGUUCACCAUCGUGU